rnacentral:lncRNA from 1 species
UCCUAAUUGAAUCUAUGAAUUUUUAUAACAAUAGUUCACUUUUUAUUUUUAUGCAUAAAUGACAAAAAAACGCACAACAAAUACAACAAUAAAAAAAAGAGCAACAAAAAAUACCUCUAUUUCUCCCACGUUGUUUUAACCAAAAAAAGUCAAAACAAAACUCUCUCCCAUGUUGAUUUUAUUUUUCUAGAAAAAUGCAAACUUCCACUUCUCCAUAAUCACUACUUCUCCUCUAUCAAAACACCACCAUACCAGCAUAAACCAUCAUUCAUCCCUAAUGUUAAAGUUCCAUACAAAAUCAACAUCCCACCAUAACAUCGACACACAUUCGGCUUUUUAUUUUUACACCCUCUUUUAUUCUCAAUUUUAAUUUUUUUUAAUUAAUGGAUUAAUUUUUUAUUAUUGACAUGAAUUUUGAAAAAAUACACUUUCUUUUGAUCAAACAAACUAAUCUUUUUCACAACUAAAUCAGACUUUU